rnacentral:rRNA from 1 species
AACGAACGCUGGCGGCAUGCCUAACACAUGCAAGUCGAACGAGACCUUCGGGUCUAGUGGCGCACGGGUGCGUAACGCGUGGGAACCUGCCCUUAGGUUCGGAAUAACUCCCCGAAAGGGGUGCUAAUACCGGAUAAUGUCUUCGGACCAAAGAUUUAUCGCCUUUGGAUGGGCCCGCGUUGGAUUAGCUAGUUGGUAGGGUAAAAGCCUACCAAGGCGACGAUCCAUAGCUGGUCUGAGAGGAUGAUCAGCCACACUGGGACUGAGACACGGCCCAGACUCCUACGGGAAGCAGCAGUGGGGAAUAUUGGACAAUGGGCGAAAGCCUGAUCCAGCAAUGCCGCGUGAGUGAUGAAGGCCUUAGGGUUGUAAAGCUCUUUUAGCCGGGAUGAUAAUGACAGUACCGGGAGAAUAAGCUCCGGCUAACUCCGUG